rnacentral:rRNA from 1 species
AGAGUUUGAUCCUGGCUCAGAUUGAACGCUGGCGGCAUGCUUUACACAUGCAAGUCGAACGGCAGCGGGGCUUCGGCCUGGCGGCGAGUGGCGAACGGGUGAGUAAUAUAUCGGAACGUGCCCAAGAGUGGGGGAUAACGUAGCGAAAGUUACGCUAAUACCGCAUACGAUCUAUGGAUGAAAGUGGGGGAUCGCAAGACCUCAUGCUCCUGGAGCGGCCGAUAUCUGAUUAGCUAGUUGGUGAGGUAAAGGCUCACCAAGGCGACGAUCAGUAGCUGGUCUGAGAGGACGACCAGCCACACUGGAACUGAGACACGGUCCAGACUCCUACGGGAGGCAGCAGUGGGGAAUUUUGGACAAUGGGGGCAACCCUGAUCCAGCAAUGCCGCGUGAGUGAAGAAGGCCUUCGGGUUGUAAAGCUCUUUUGUCAGGGAAGAAAAGGGUACGGCUAAUAUCCGUGCCUCAUGACGGUACCUGAAGAAUAAGCACCGGCUAACUACGUGCCAGCAGCCGCGGUAAUACGUAGGGUGCAAGCGUUAAUCGGAAUUACUGGGCGUAAAGCGUGCGCAGGCGGUUUUGUAAGUCUGUUGUGAAAUCCCCGGGCUUAACCUGGGGAAUGGCAAUGGAGACUGCAAGGCUAGAGUUUGGCAGAGGGGGGUAGAAUUCCACGUGUAGCAGUGAAAUGCGUAGAGAUGUGGAGGAACACCGAUGGCGAAGGCAGCCCCCUGGGUCAAGACUGACGCUCAUGCACGAAAGCGUGGGGAGCAAACAGGAUUAGAUACCCUAGUAGUCC